GGGUCUGAAGCUUUGAGGGAGGAGCUGAGAAGAAGACACCUUCGGACCCACCAGACUUCGGCGCUUCCCCCGAAGGGAAUCGGACAUCCUGACCCCGGGUGGGUCCUGACAACACCGCUCGAGACGUGAGGUGAGCUCUCGGAUAUUACUCCAGUACCACGCCUGUUCACCUGCUGCCGUACCUUGACAUGAAGGCCAUGGACUCUAACCUUCUCUACACUGUAAGCUCCAAAUAAACUUUCUUCUGCGA